UCUUAAAGGGUCUUUUACUCCAACCAACUUUCCAGGGCCUGAAAAAUACUCCUGCUGAGGAUGCUCCAAUAGUUUCAGUGAUGGGAUAGACCUAAAAAUAAAUACACAAUACUGGCUCAGCUUUACGGAUCAUUCAUACUAUGUCAGGCACUAGAUGCCCCUGGUUUUAUGCUUUCUAUGUUUCAUUACUUUAUCCCUCAAGGCAGGAACUACUAUUAUUAUUUCCAUCUUAUAGAGAAGGAAACAGACUUGCCCAAGGUCUCCACAGACGCUUCUUUCAUUCGUCUCUGAACUGAAUAUGGACACAUCCUGUGGGAAUCUCCCAGCUUGUCCCAGAGUCUCUGAGUCCUUCCUGUCUCCCACCGUACUCCACCCCUGGCCUAUCUGCCCCUGGGGAAAUGGACCAGGGCAUUGCAAUCCACCCCUGCUCCGCUUCGCUCAGCCUCUCCAGCCUGCAGCCCCACUACCCUCUGUCCUCAGCCUCUUGUUGUGUCCUGAGACUCCUGGGGUUUUCAUUCCUCUGUAGCAGGUGGCAAAGGGAUAAGGACUGGGAUCCAGGGAUACAAUUUGAAUAGAGGAUUAAGGCUCUGAUUGGAAUUAUGCUUAGUGUAAGGAUACCCUGUAAGAAAUCCCAGACCAGAUCAUGAGAUAAAGCUUAGGGCUGAAGUUAGUGUCAGGGGCUAUGGCUAAAGGGUUGAGGUCAGAGAGUUUCUCGCCCCUGGUCUCCUCCCAGUUCUCCAAGGCACUGAGGGCCAGGCAGGAAGCAUCGGUUUCCUCAAAGCCGCUUCCCUCCUGGGGCAGAGUCUCGGUCACAAACAACCACCACCAGCCCACCCCGCCCCUCCUUCCCUCUUCACUAUGAGCUCAGAGCAGCGGGACAAAGUGCUCCGGACAAGGACAGAGGACUGAGAGUAGCCAUGGGCUCUGGAGGAGAGAGCCUCCUGGGGAACAGGGGUUCCCUGCCUCUGCUGCUCCUGCUUACCAUGGGAGGCAUGGCUCAGGACUCCCCGCCUCAGAUCCUAGUCCACCCCCAGGACCAGCUGCUCCAGGGCCCUGGCCCUGCCAGGAUGAGCUGCCGAGCCUCUGGUCAGCCACCUCCCACCAUCCGCUGGCUGCUGAAUGGGCAGCCCCUGAGCAUGGUGCCCCCAGACCCACACCACCUCCUGCCGGAUGGGACCCUUCUGCUGCUGCAGCCCCCUGCCCGGGGACACGCCCAUGGUGGCCAGGCCCUGUCCACAGACCUGGGUGUCUACACAUGUGAGGCCAGCAACCGACUGGGCACGGCAGUCAGCAGAGGCGCUCGGCUGUCUGUGGCUGUCCUCCGGGAGGAUUUCCAGAUCCAGCCUCGGGACACGGUGGCGGUGGUGGGUGAGCAGAUGACUCUGGAAUGUGGGCCUCCCUGGGGCCACCCAGAGCCCACAGUUUCUUGGUGGAAAGAUGGGAAACCCCUGGCCCUCCAGCCUGGAAGGCACACAGUGUCCGGGGGGUCCCUGCUCAUGGCAAGAGCAGAGAAGAGUGACGCAGGGACGUACAUGUGUGUGGCCACCAACAGCGCAGGACACAGGGAGAGCCGUGCAGCCCGGGUGUCCAUCCAGGAGCCCCAGGACUACACGGAGCCUGUGGAGCUUCUGGCUGUACGAAUUCAGCUGGAAAAUGUGACGCUGCUGACCCCGGACCCCGCAAAGGGCCCCAAGCCUGGGCCGGCAGUGUGGCUCAGCUGGAAGGUUAGCGGCCCUGCUGCACCUGCCCAAUCCUACACGGCCUUGUUCAGGACCCAGACUGCCCCAGGAGCCCAGGGAGCUCCGUGGGCAGAGGAGCUGCUGGCUGGCUGGCAGAGCGCAGAGCUUGGAGGCCUCCACUGGGGCCAAGACUAUGAGUUCAAAGUGAGACCAUCCUCCGGCCGGGCUCGAGGCCCUGACAGCAACGUGCUGCUCCUGAGGCUGCCGGAAAAAGUGCCCAGUGCCCCACCACAGGAGGUGACCCUAAAACCUGGCAAUGGCAGUGUCCUUGUGAGCUGGGUCCCACCACCUGCUGAAAACCACAAUGGCAUCAUCCGUGGCUACCAGGUCUGGAGCCUGGGCAACACAUCACUACCCCCAGCCAACUGGACUGUAGUUGCUGAGAAGACCCAGCUGGAAAUCGCCACCCACAUGCCAGGCUCCUACUGCGUGCAAGUGGCUGCAGUCACUGGUGCUGGGGCUGGGGAGCCCAGUAGCCCUGUCUGCCUCCUUUUAGAGCAGGCCAUGGAGCGAGCCACCCGAGAACCCAGUGAGCCUCGUCCCUGGACCCUGGAGCAGCUGAGGGCCACCUUGAAGCGGCCAGAGGUCAUCGCCAGCUGUGGCGUGGUGCUCUGGCUGCUGCUUCUGGGCACCGCAGUAUGUAUCCACCGCCGGCGCCGAGCUGGGGUGCACCUGGGCCCAGGUCUGUACAGAUAUACCAGCGAGGACGCCAUCCUAAAACACAGGAUGGAUCACAGUGACUCCCAGUGGUUGGCAGACACUUGGCGUUCCACCUCUGGCUCUCGGGACCUCAGCAGCAGCAGCAGCCUUAGCAGUCGGCUGGGGGCGGACCCCCGGGACCCGCUAGACUGUCGUCGCUCCUUGCUCUCUUGGAACUCCCGAAGCCCUGGCGUGCCCCUGCUUCCAGACACCAGCACUUUUUAUGGCUCCCUCAUCGCUGAGCUGCCCUCCACUCCCCCAGCCAGGCCAAGCCCCAGGGUCCCAGCUGUCAGGUGCCUCCCGCCCCAGCUGGCCCGGCUCUCCAGCCCCUGUUCCAGCUCAGACAGCCUAUGCAGCCAUAGGGGACUCUGUUCUCCACGCUUGUCUCUGGCCCCUGCAGAGGCUUGGAAGGCCAAAAAGAAGCAGGAGUUGCAGCAUGUCAACAGUUCCCCACUGCUCCGGGCCAGCCAUCCCUUGGAGCUCCGGGCCUGCGACUUGGGAAGUAGAGGCUUCAAGAACCUUUCCCAAAGCCCAGGAGCUGUGCCCCAAGCUCUGGCUGCCUGGCAAGGCUUGGGACCGAAACUCCUCAGCGCCUCAAAUGAGCUGGUUACUCGUCCUCUCCCUCCAGCACCCCUCUUUCCUCACAAAACUCCCCCUACUCAGAGUCAACAGACCCAGCCUCCAGUGGCACCACAGACUCUCUCCUCGGUCCUGCUGCCAGCAGCCCCCACCCCCAUCCUUAGGCCCUGCAGUCCCCCAAGUCCCCGGGCCUCUUCACUCUCUGGUCCCAGCCCAGCUUCCAGUCGCCUGUCCAGCUCUUCACUAUCAUCCCUGGGGGAAGAUCAAGACAGUGUGCUGACCCCUGAGGAGGUGGCUCUGUGCUUGGAACUCAGUGAGGGUGAGGAGACUCCCAGGAACAGCGUCUCUCCCAUGCCAAGGGCUCCUUCACCCCCCACCACCUAUGGAUACAUCAGCGUCCCAACAGCCUCAGAGCUUGCGGACGUGGGCAGGACCGGAGGAGGGGUGGGGCCCGAGGGGGGAGUCUUGCUGUGCCCAUCUCGGCCCUGCCUUACCCCCACCCCCAGCGAGGGUUCCUUAGCCAAUGGUUGGGGCUCAGCCUCUGAGGACAAUGCCGCCAGUGCCAGAGCCAGCCUGGUCAGCUCCUCUGAUGGCUCCUUCCUCGCUGAUGCCCACUUUGCCCGGGCCCUGGCAGUGGCCAUGGAUAGCUUUGGUUUUGGUCUAGAGCCCAGGGAGGCAGACUGCGUCUUCACAGGUAUGUGAGGUCACCCCAUCUUACUCCUCACUCAUGCGCCUUGCCUGUCUAACAGCCAUCAUCAUACCCUGACUUGGGUAUCCAGGAAAGGUUGCUCCAGCCUCUUCCAAUCCCUUCUUCUUGCUCUGUCCAUGGCUGGGGCUGAGAAGCCACAGGGCUCACCACUGACAUUCCCAGCAGAGUGGGACCUUUAUCUCCAUGUCAGCAGAAGGUCGUGCAGGGCCCUGGCUCCUUGGGUGUCCCUUCCCCACAUGCCCAGUCAGAUUCCCCCAUCCCCAUUUUACUAAUCCUAACUCUACCCUUUGCCCCCAAGAAAAACAACCAGGCUUGUGGCAAAUGGGAGGGCAAGGAUUGUCCAGGACAGAAGGGCUCAGGAUGGCAGAAAAAGAAUGCCCAGUGAAUGGGUGCGUGAAGGGAGAGUACAGACAGAAGGCCAGAGCUGCCCUGGGAGGAAACAGUGCAAGCACUUCUCCCUAAAGAAACCAAUGGAUCCAGCCCCUGGGGAUGUGGCCUCUGAGACUGAUGGGCUGAAUUGGGGUUAGGUUAUGCUUAGGGCCGAGUACAUGCCCUGAGCUGGUCCUAAGCUUUUUGUCCUAAACUGGUCAACCUCCCACAGACACCUCUACCCUCCCUGACAGAUGCCUCAUCACCUCCCUCCCCAAGGGAUGACAUCUUCCUGACCCCCAACCUCUCCCUGCCCCUGUGGGAGUGGAGGCCAGAUUGGUUGGAAG